rnacentral:rRNA from 1 species
UACGGAGGGAGCUAGCGUUGUUCGGAAUUACUGGGCGUAAAGCGCACGUAGGCGGCUAUUCAAGUCGGGGGUGAAAGCCCGGGGCUCAACCCCGGAACAGCCCUCGAAACUAGAUAGCUAGAAUCUUGGAGAGGUCAGUGGAGUUCCGAGUGUAGAGGUGAAAUUCGUAGAUAUUCGGAAGAACACCAGUGGCGAAGGCGACUGACUGGACAAGUAUUGACGCUGAGGUGCGAAAGCGUGGGGAGCAAACAGG